rfam:Streptomyces sp. PVA 94-07 chromosome, whole genome shotgun sequence.
CUUCACCGAACCCAGCCACAGCGGACGGCCCUCCGGCCUGUCCCGCCCGUAGGUGUCGAGCAGCGCCUCGGCCUC